UACGGGGGGGCAAGCGUUGUUCGGAAUUACUGGGCGUAAAGGGCUCGUAGGCGGCCUAACUAAGUCGGACGUGAAAUCCCUCGGCUUAACCGGGGAACUGCGUCCGAUACUGGGAUGCUUGAGUGAUGGGAGAGGGAUGCGGAAUUCCGAGGUGUAGCGGUGAAAUGCGUAGAUAUCGUAAGGAACACCGGUGGCGAAGGCGGCUUCCUGGGACAAUAACUGACGCUGGAGGCGCGAAAGCCUAGGGGAGCAAACAGG
rnacentral:rRNA from 1 species